rnacentral:rRNA from 1 species
GAUGGGCCCGCGGCCUAUCAGCUUGUUGGUGAGGUAACGGCCCACCAAGGCGACGACGGGUAGCUGGUCUGAGAGGACGGCCAGCCACACUGGGACUGAGACACGGCCCAGACUCCUACGGGAGGCAGCAGUGGGGAAUCUUGCGCAAUGGGCGAAAGCCUGACGCAGCGACGCCGCGUGGGGGAUGAAGGCCCUCGGGUUGUAAACCCCUUUCGGCAGGGACGAAGCCGCAAGGUGACGGUACCUGCAGAAGAAGCUCCGGCUAACUACGUGCCAGCAGCCGCGGUAAGACGUAGGGAGCGAGCGUUGUCCGGAUUCAUUGGGCGUAAAGAGCGCGUAGGCGGCCGUGCAAGUCGGUUGUGAAAUCCCGGGGCUCAACCCCGGGACUGCGUCCGAUACUGCACGGCUCGAGGCAGGUAGGGGAGAGUGGAAUUCCCGGUGUAGCGGUGAAAUGCGCAGAUAUCGGGAGG